UCUAGGUAUAAGCAAUUAUACCGUGAAACUGCGAAUGGCUCAUUAAAUCAGUUAUCGUUUAUUUGAUAAUACCUUACUACUUGGAUAACCGUGGUAAUUCUAGAGCUAAUACAUGCUGAAAAUCCCGACUUCGGAAGGGAUGUGUUUAUUAGAUAAAAAACCAAUGCCCUUCGGGGCUUUUUGGUGAUUCAUGAUAACUUUACGGAUCGCAUAGCCUUGCGCUGGCGACGGUUCAUUCAAAUUUCUGCCCUAUCAACUUUCGAUGGUAAGGUAUUGGCUUACCAUGGUUUCAACGGGUAACGGGGAAUUAGGGUUCGAUUCCGGAGAGGGAGCCUGAGAAACGGCUACCACAUCCAAGGAAGGCAGCAGGCGCGCAAAUUACCCAAUCCCGACACGGGGAGGUAGUGACAAUAAAUACUGAUACAGGGCUCUUUUGGGUCUUGUAAUUGGAAUGAGUACAAUUUAAACCUCUUAACGAGGAACAAUUGGAGGGCAAGUCUGGUGCCAGCAGCCGCGGUAAUUCCAGCUCCAAUAGCGUAUAUUAAAGUUGUUGCAGUUAAAAAGCUCGUAGUUGAAACUUGGGCCUGGCUGGCGGGUCCGCCUCACCGCGUGCACUCGUCCGGCCGGGCCUUCCUUCUGAAGAACCUCAUGCCCUUCACUGGGCGUGCUGGGGAAUCAGGACUUUUACUUUGAAAAAAUUAGAGUGUUCAAAGCAGGCCUUUGCUCGAAUACGUUAGCAUGGAAUAAUAAAAUAGGGCGUGCGUUUCUAUUUUGUUGGUUUCUAGAGACGCCGCAAUGAUUAACAGGAACAGUCGGGGGCAUCAGUAUUCAGUUGUCAGAGGUGAAAUUCUUGGAUUUACUGAAGACUAACUACUGCGAAAGCAUUUGCCAAGGAUGUUUUCAUUAAUCAGUGAACGAAAGUUAGGGGAUCGAAGACGAUCAGAUACCGUCGUAGUCUUAACCGUAAACUAUGCCGACUAGGGAUCGGGCGAUGUUCUUUUUCUGACUCGCUCGGCACCUUACGAGAAAUCAAAGUUUUGGGUUCUGGGUGAUUAUGACGGCCG
rnacentral:rRNA from 1 species